rnacentral:rRNA from 1 species
GACGAACCGUGCGAACGUUGUUCGGAAUCACUGGGCUUAAAGGGCGCGUAGGCGGCUAUUCAAGUCCGGGGUGAAAUCCUCCCGCUCAACGGGAGAAGUGCCUUGGAUACUGGAUGGCUCGAGGGAGGUAGGGGUCGAGGGAACUUCUGGUGGAGCGGUGAAAUGCGUUGAUAUCAGAAGGAACGCCGGUGCGAAAGCGCUCGACUGGACCUUUUCUGACGCUGAGGCGCGAAAGCUAGGGGAGCAAACGGGG